UACGAAGGGGGCUAGCGUUGUUCGGAAUCACUGGGCGUAAAGCGCACGUAGGCGGGUCGUUAAGUCGGGGGUGAAAUGCCAAGGCUCAACCUUGGAACUGCCUUCGAUACUGGCGACCUCGAGUCCGGGAGAGGUGAGUGGAACUCCGAGUGUAGAGGUGAAAUUCGUAGAUAUUCGGAAGAACACCAGUGGCGAAGGCGGCUCACUGGCCCGGUACUGACGCUGAGGUGCAAAAGCGUGGGGAGCAAACAGG
rnacentral:rRNA from 1 species